rnacentral:ncRNA from 1 species
AAGGCCUGAUGUGUGUGAGAUUACCCGCUGAAUUUAAGCAUAUAAGUAAGCGGAGGAAAAGAAACUAACUAGGAUUCCCUUAGUAAUGGCGAAUGAACAGGGAUCAGCUCAGUGCCAAAUCGGAAUCACUUGUGGUUCUGAAAUGUGGCUUGAAGGCAGUACCAGUGGCAUCGCGGACGAAAGUCUCUUGGAAAAGAGCGUCAUAGAGGGUGAGAAUCCCGUGAGUCGUUCGCCGUUUGUCACGUACGGUCUGCGUUCUAACGAGUCGCGUUCCUUGGGAUUGGAGCGUAAACGGGUGGUAAAUUUCAUCCAAAGCAAAAUAUAUACUCGAGACCGAUAGCACAAAAGUACCGUGAGGGAAAGGUGAAAAGAACUUUGAGAAGAGGGUUAAAUAGUGCCUGAAAUCGUUGAGAAGGAAGCGGAUGCCGCCGUUGCAUAUGCUGAUUGUAGGAUUGCUGCUCGCUCCUGUCUUCUGCUACUCAUUCACAGACCUGGUCGUGUUGAGCAGUUGUUUGGCAGAUGUUAGUGGUGUUUCCUACUUUCAGUCGUCAGCAUCACUGGCUGAGUGGAAAUAAUCCUUGGAUGCUAAUUGGUUCGCUAUCUGUGAAUUGGUUGCUUCCUUGCGAUACUC